AAAAGUCUGUGAAGUAUGCUGUUGUCCAGAGCCCUUUUUCUGUUGUACUACUGGCAAUUAUGAUGAGCAGUGCAAUAUUAAAAGGGCAUUGGCUGGCAGAAACAUGACCCCUUUUAGCA
rnacentral:precursor_RNA from 14 species